CCUACUCUUAACACGUGGGGAUUAUUACAAUUCAAGAUGACUGUGUUAAUGCAGCUGACUCUCCACGUUUGGGUGUGGCUGAGAAGAUGAAAGAAGGCUACAGGAUGUAGUUCCCUUUCCUGAGCAGGCUUGUUGGGGAGGAUCAGUCUUUCCUGCUCCCACUUUGCUUUACGCCCCUGGUUAUUCAGAGACCAGAUAAUCCUUAGUGACAGCAGUUGACCACUUCCACAAGACUUCAGAGAAAUACACCCAGCUCCCAUUUCUAAGAAGAGGGAUUUCUCUGAUGGUUUGGGAAUGAUUUCCUCCUUUUGUGAGGCUGCAGCUGCAAGGGAGACAAGGGGAGAAGGCUGCAGCUGCAUUCUGAAGGUUUCUCUAAAGAACAAGCAGGGGCAAGGAAUUAAUAGUUUAAAGCCAAAUCAAACCAAAAUGCAACAAACUAAAAACCAAAAAAACCCCAUAACUUGAGAAGGGUGAAAAUUUGACUUUAUUUCUUUCUAAGUUUACCUGAAAUUAUCUACAUUGUUUGCAAAUGUAGAUAAAUGCAUUGUCUACAAAGAUUUUCAUAAUUGGGCAUUUUUCUAUUUUUGGUGCUCAGCUUACUUACUUAAAUGCAUUGGUAAAAUUGACCACUUACUGGGAUUUGAGUAUUCAUCCUGAAGUGAUCCAAAUCCUUUCACUGUAAUCUGCAUCGGCAAAAUACCAAAUACAACAGAUUGCUUCCAGAAUGCUGGCCUCAAUAUUCACAUGUCUUAUAGUAGAAAGAGAGAGUCCUGGACUGGAUGGGAGGAACCCAAUAUUCUAGCAUUGCCUUUUCCCCAACCAGUUAUAAAUAUGGGUGAAUCACAUUGCCUUGGAGAUCCUGAGUCUUUGCUCUAUAAAAUAAGGGGGCUGAUGUAUUUGGCUCUUGAGAGACUCGUCAGUACCAGGGUUUAAUCUUUACCAUUAACAGUCUAAUUAGCUUCCAUGUUUCCUCCUGCACAAAUAUGCUAGGCCUUGCAUUCUCUACUACACAACUUCAUUGUUUUAAGCUGGAGGCAAUUAGAAAAAUAAACUGCUUUGGGGUGGAGCCAAGAUGGCUGAAUAGGAACAGCUCCAGUCUACAGCUCCCAGCGUGAGUGACACAGAAGAUGGGUGAUUUCUGCAUUUCCAGCUGAGGUACCAGGUUCAUCUCUCGGGGGAGUGCUGGACAGUGGGUGCAGGACAGUGGGUGCAGUGCACUGUUCGUGAGCUUAAGCAGGGCGAGGCAUUGCCUCACCCGGGAAGUGCAAGGGGUCAGGGAAUUCCCUUUCCUAGUUGAAGAAAGGGGUGACAGACGGCACCUGGAAUAUUGGGUCACUCCCACCCUAAUACUGUGCUCUUCCAAUGGGCUUAACAAACGGUACACCAGGAGAUUAUAUCCCGCACAUGGCUCGGAGGGUCCUACGCCCACGGAGCCUCACUCAUUUGCUAGCACAGCAGUCUGAGAUCAAACUGCAAAGCGGCAGCGAGGCUAGGGGAGGGGCAUCCGCCAUUGCUCAGGCUUGAGUAGGUAAACAAAGUGGCCGGGAAGCUCAAACUCAGUGGAGCCCACCACAGCUCAAG
rnacentral:lncRNA from 10 species